rnacentral:rRNA from 1 species
AUUGAACGCUGGCGGUAUGCUUAACACAUGCAAGUCGAACGGUAACAGGCCUUCGGGCGCUGACGAGUGGCGAACGGGUGAGUAACGCGUUGGUGACCUGCCCCAAAGUGUGGGAUAACAGUCCGAAAGGAUUGCUAAUACCGCAUGUGGUCCUCGGAUUUAGAAACCGAUGACUAAAGCCGCAAGGCGCUUUGGGAGGGACCUGCGUCCCAUCAGCUAGUUGGUGAGGUAACGGCCCACCAAGGCUACGACGGGUAGGGGACCUGAGAGGGUGGCCCCCCACAAUGGAACUGAACAACGGUCCAUACACCUACGGGAGGCUG